CUGGGUUCAGAGUGUGACACCUACAAAGAAAGAACUAAAAGCAACUCUGAAGAAAAUUCAGCAGAGAUGAGAGGAGUACAAGUCACUAAACAUGAUAGCCUCAAGAUUGAGCUGGCAUUACACUACCAUGAGAAGGCUAAGAGAGAUGUCCCGCAAGCAAGAAGCCAAAUAUGUUGAUCCAGAAAAGUCAAUUUUGUGAAUACAAAAUUGACAAUCGG
rnacentral:lncRNA from 1 species